AAAAAACUUUUAGAAAAUUAAAUCACAAGUUCACUGAGAAGUUUUGGCAUAAAUAGUGAUGAUGAUGAUGAUGAUGAUGAUGAUGAUGAUAGCUCGUAUAUAGGGCUUCAACAUUUUGAAAACAUUUUCUGAAUCUCAUGAAGUAGAUAAUAAAACAUUAUUACUUUUUUCUGUUUAGGAAAUUGAAAUUCAGAGAAAUUAAUGAUUCAUCAGUGGGUCCAACUGGUUACAUUAAGCUGCAUGGGUAGCUAAUACAUUGGAUGACAGAACUGGUAUGAAGAUAGAUCUUGACAGGCUGGAAUAAUGGGCAAAAUCUAAGAAGAUGGAAUUUAAUAUGGAUAAAUGUAAAGUUGUGCACUUGAAUACAAAAAAUCUACUUUACAAAUAUGAGAAGAAAGAGUAACAGUUCCUGAUAAUAGGAUGCCAUUAAAACUCAUCCCUAUUAUUUGCAAAAUGUUAUUUGCAUUUGGGUGAGAAGAGCAGAAGAAGUGAAUAAUGACCAGGACCACAGGAACAUCAAGGCAAAGUAAGUCAACAAACACUUAUUAAACAUUUACUAUAUGCCAGACACCACGUUAAAUGUUCAGGAUACAAA
rnacentral:lncRNA from 1 species